rnacentral:lncRNA from 1 species
CACUCAUAAGUGGGAGCUAAACUAUGAGGAUGCAAAGGCAUAAGAAUAAUACAAUGGACUCUGGGGAUUCAGGGAAAGGGUGGGAGGGGGGUGAGGGAUAAAAGGCUACACAUUAGGUAUAGUGUGUACUACUUGGAUGAUGGGUGCACCAAAAUCUCAGAAAUCACCACUAAAGAACUUAUUCAACAUAAAUAUACAGACAUACACAUACAUAUAUCCUGUUCAUGAUAUAUUAUCCUGUAUAAUUGAAUUCAAUUUGCUUAUAUUUUGUACAUUUUUUUGGUUCACGAGACAUAUUGCCUAUAUCUUUUCCCUUGUAAUGUCCCUGACAGGCUGUGUUAUCAGUGUCCUUUCCCACUUUAUGUUUUUGUUUGACUUGUUGAAGAUCAGUUGGCUGUAACUAUUUGGGUUUAUUUCUGGGUUCUCCAUUCUGUUCCAUUGGUCUAUGUGCCUAUUUUUAUACCAGUACCAUGAUGUUUUGGUGCCUAUGGCCUUAUAGUAUAGUGUGAAGUCAGGUAACAUGAUGCCUCCAAAUGAUUUGUUCUUUUUGCUUAGUCUUGCUUUGGGUGUGUGGGCUCUCUUUUUGGUUUCAUAUACACUUUAGUAUUGUUUUUUCUAGUUCUGUGAAGAAUGAUGAUGGUAUUUUGAUAGGAAUUGCAUUGAAUUUGUAAACUGCUUUUGGCAGUAUGGUCAUUUUCACAAUAUUGAUUCCACUCAUCGAUGAGCAUGGGAUGUGUUUCCAUUUGUGUCAUCUAUGAUUUCUUUCAGCUGUGUUUUGUAGUUCUCUUUGUAGAGGCCUUUCACCUUUUUGGUUAGGUAUAUUCCUAAGUAUUUUUUGUAUUUUUUUUUUCUUGCAGCUAUUGUAAAAGGAGUUGAGUUCUUGAUUUGAUCCUCAGCUUGGUUGCUGUUGGUGUAUAGGAGAGCUACUGA